rnacentral:lncRNA from 14 species
CUUAUUGGUUGAGCUGGAGACAAGAAGAAGUUUCCAUUCCAAGGCUGUAGGUGGAUUAUACUGAGCAAAGAAGUUACAAGAACCAUGUGAGUAAAGCCUCUUCUCUAUCCUGCACGUUCG